GUUGCCUGAAUGGGUUUCCGGGAUGGUGCGGAUUGAUGGGUUGGUUUCCUUUCGAAGAGAGGCGCGCGGCAAGGAAAGAAAUCGAAGAAAGAAAAUAUGGAAGGAAGGGUUUCCUUAAGUGCAGAGGAGGAAGAACGAGCACGAGCUCGUGCUCGGCUGGGCUGGGGCGUUCGGUGGAGAUGGGCCGGCCCAGUUUGGGUCGGUCGCUUCUCUUUUUCUUUUUCCUUUUUUUUCCAUUUCUGUUUUUAUUAAUAACUUUUGAUUACUAACUCCAAAUAAGUCCAAAUAAACUCCAGUAAAUUUGUAAAUUCAAAUCUUCCAAAGUGUGAACUUUUGGGACCUGAAUCCUUUCAAAAUAAAAUAAGUAAAAAUACUUUUGCUUAUAUGAAUGUCAUUAGAGCUUUAUAAGUAAUAAAUAAAAUAGGUUUUGACAUCUA
rnacentral:lncRNA from 1 species